rnacentral:pre_miRNA from 7 species
UUUUGACUGUGGGAUAGUGAAAGAACCUAGUGGGGAAACCCCCACUCAACUCCCAAUUCAGUGUGCACCCAAGAAUCACGAACAGACCA